ensembl:lncRNA
GUCCACUGGUUACAGCUUUCAACACGAAAGGAGCUCCAGGGCACUGGCAGCUCCUACUACAGAGUGGCUGGGCUGGGCUGGGCCAGAAAAGCCAUGAGGUGAGAUCCCUCCCAUUCCAGCUUCAGAACUGCAUGUUCUACCUGACGUCGGAGAUGAAAACUGGCCUUCUAUUCCCAUGGGUUUACUUGAAGAUACACGUUUUACUCCUGAUGCCUUGCAAGAUUUGCAGAGACGUUCAACACGUGCCGAAACAUUAGGUUUUCUGCUUCAAGAAAUACUCCCUCAUCAUCCUUUUUCAUCUGGUCUUAGUGUAUGCAGUUCACCUGGCAGUCGCUUCUAUGCAGCAACCAGAGUCACCUUUUAAAAUGUAAUCAGACUUCCAAUCCCAGACAUGAUGGAACAAUAAAUAUCAGACUGACUCUUCUUUCCCAAGCAAUUGUGAUAUCGGAUAGAAUGCAUGAAGGAACUGGUUUCAAGAAUGGAACAACACUCAGUGCAGGUCUUUGAUCCAACCGGAAGCUUGUGAGUCAAGCCCCACAUUCAUGCUGGCUUUCUGUCUGAGAGCGCCCUCGAAACCAAGGCGCAGGGAAGCAGAGGUCACCAGAGAGCCAAGCACAAGCAGCAGAGAUCAGAGUACAGGCAGCUGGAACUUGCCGGGGAGGGUAGUGGAGAGGAGGGUUCUGAGCAGAGCAGGGACUUCAGAUGUCCUCAAAGUGAUCUUGAGUCUUGGCCAAAUGCUAGGCUGCAUUUGCACGGGGAACGAGUCUUUGAGGCUCGGCGGAGAACAACUACUGGGCAGGACGUUGCGGGGAGGAUGGUGAGCUAAACACAACCUGGAAGUCACACAGUCACAUUGUGCUGGGAGACUAAGAGUUUUUGUUUUGUUUUAUUUGUUUUUUGUUUUUUUUUUCCCCCUGAGAUGGAGUUUCACUGUUGUCGCCUAGGCUGGAGUUCAGUGGCAUGAUCUUGACUCACUGCAACCUCCGCCUCCUGGGUUCAAGUGAUUCUCCUGCCUCAGCCUCCCGAGUAGCUGGGAUUAUAGGUGCCCACAACCAUGCCCAGCUAAUUUUUGUAUUUUUAGUAGAGAAGGGAUUUCACCGUGUUGGCCAGGCUGGUCUUGAACUCCUGACCUCAGAUGAUCAACCCGCCUCAGCCUCCCAAAGUGCUGGGAUUACAGGCGUGAGCCACUGCACCCAGCCAAGACUUAGGGUUCCAAUCUGCUAGAGUGAUGAGACCUUACUGAGCACCUUGAACGUUGAAUCCGAGAUCACAGAAAGGUCAUACAUUAGGAAUAAGAUUGCUCUAGCCCCAAGACCACGCUAAACUCUCCAUAACAAAACCUAAAAAUAAGCCUUGUUAGGAUCCAGAUGCUAUGCCAGUCAAGUAACUCUCUGCCAGAAUAAAACUCAGCACUCUUCAAACAAAUUAUUAUCUGCAAUAGCCAGCAUACAAUUUAAAAAAUCACUAGACAGGCAGGACAGGAGACUAAUAACGAAGAGAAAAGAUCAAUAAAUACCAACCCAUACAAACAUAGUGGGUGCACAAACAGGAAUUUCAGCAGAGAAGUGGCAAUUUAAGAAACAACUAAAUGGUCAUUCCCAAACUAGAACAUAUAAUAUCUCAAAUGAAGAAUUCACUGGAUGGAUGGCCAGGCGCGACGGCUCACACCUGUAAUCCCAGCACUUUGGGAGGCCGAGGCAGGCAGAUCACCUGAGGUCAGGAGUUUGAGACUAGCCUGGUCAACAUGGCAAAACCCUGUCUGUACUAAAAAUACAAAAAUGAGCCUGAUGUGGUGGUACACACCUGUAGUCCCAGCUACUCAGGAGGCUGAGGCAGGAGAAUUGCUUGAACCCAUGAGGUGAAGGUUGCAGUGAGCCAAGAUUGUGCCACUGCACUCCAGCUUGGGUGACAGAGCGAGACUGUGUCAAAAAAAAAAAAGAAAAA